rnacentral:rRNA from 1 species
GACGAACGCUGGCGGCGUGCUUAACACAUGCGAGUCGAACGGAAAGGCCCUGCUUUUGUGGGGUGCUCGAGUGGCGAACGGGUGAGUAACACGUGAGUAACCUGCCCUUGACUUUGGGAUAACUUCAGGAAACUGGGGCUAAUACCGGAUAGGAGCUCCUGCUGCAUGGUGGGGGUUGGAAAGUUUCGGCGGUUGGGGAUGGACUCGCGGCUUAUCAGCUUGUUGGUGGGGUAGUGGCUUACCAAGGCUUUGACGGGUAGCCGGCCUGAGAGGGUGACCGGUCACAUUGGGACUGAGAUACGGCCCAGACUCCUACGGGAGGCAGCAGUGGGGAAUAUUGCACAAUGGGCGGAAGCCUGAUGCAGCAACGCCGCGUGCGGGAUGACGGCCUUCGGGUUGUAAACCGCUUUCGCCUGUGACGAAGCGUGAGUGACGGUAAUGGGUAAAGAAGCACCGGCUAACUACGUG